ensembl:lncRNA
GACUAGAGAGAUUUGUGUCUGGGCUUCUAUCCCCUGUGCACACGGGGAGAUUGGUGUUUGAUUUGCAGCCACAUCUGAGAUUUGUGGAGCUUGUCACUGCUAGUGACUACAGCAGACUUGAGGUUAGUCAUCAGCUGUUUAUAAACUGCACUGUCCAUUCCUGCUGACUCGUCAAUACUAUGAGGAGGUGAACCUGAAAAGAGAGUGACCUGUUAUAUUUAACCAAACUUUCAAGGAAGAGCUUGAAACAAAUAACUCAAGGUGAUUUCAAGUGCUCAAUGGGUUUGCUUACCCAAGUGAUCUUUCUCAAGAACCAAUGUAAAUGGACAAUGACUUAUUCGACAUAAUGGCAACGAUGCCAGUUACAAGGGAUCAGCACACUACAAUCUAUUAGCCAAAUCUAGCUCACCACCCAUUUUUAGCUGUGUUCUCAGUCGCUUCAGUCAUGUCCAACUCUUUGCAAACUUAGCCUGCCAGGCUCCUCUGUACACCGGAUUCUCCAGCAAGAAUACAGGAGUGGGUUGCUGUGCCCUCCUCCAGGGGAUCUUCCCACCCCAGGAAUUGAACCCAUAUAUCUGGCAUCUCCGGCAUUGCCAGCAGGUUCUUUACCCGCUGAACUGCCUGGGAAGCCCUUCUUCCCUUUCCACUUCCCUCCAGUCAUACUGUCAUCAGAUCGUUCUCACAUUCUUCAAAGUUACAGAUUCUUUGCGUACUGUUAGGUAUAGGUUUUACUUCACUUGUAGGUGGUCUUGGGG